GGGCUCUCUCGGGGUCCCGGCGGGCGGGCACUCGGCGGCCGCGGCGCGAUGGAGGCGCCGGCCGAAUUGCUGGCCGCGCUGCCCGCGCUGGCCACAGCGUUGGCACUGCUGCUCGCUUGGCUGCUGCUGCGGCGUGGGGCAGCCCCGGCCUCGGCCCCGGAACGCGCGUCCCCGACCGAGGUCCCUGGGGAUCCGGCACCGCCUGAGCUUCCCGAGCCCAGCGCCUCGGAGCCCGCACCCGCGGGGCCGCGCCAGCCCGAGCGCAUGGCGGAGCCGGGAGAGCCCGUGGCGGAGGAGCCGGCGGACGAGGGGAGGCAGGAUGAAGAGCAGGACUCAGACAGUGAGACGGGGCCGCCCACUGAAGAACCUGAGGAAGAGGAUGGAGCGGCCUUCUCCUUUAAGUACAGCCCUGGGCAGCUGAGGGGAAGCCAGUACAAGAGGAUGAUGACCAAAGAAGAGCUGGAGGAGGAGCAGAGGAUUGAGCUGACCUCUGACCUCACCUCCCUGUAGCGAGUCCUUUAGUCCUGGGCCACAAAUGUCCUUGCAAACCCUUGUGGUAAGGAGAACUGAAGAAUAACGAAGGUGUCCUUAGCCUCCUCCUGAAGGCUUUCUUGCCUUUUUCACAUCUUAAAAGCUUGAUUGAAAAAAAAAGGAGCCCCCCCAGGGAGGAGUUCGUGCAGGCUUGGGGUGGGGGAGAGUUUGUCUGCAAAUCUGCUGACACACUGAUACCCCCACCCCUCUUGGGUUCCCUUGGGCUAGCAAGAUCUUUGGGAACCAUUGUGUCUCUGCCUUGCUCAGAGGUGUUUAUGGGGUGGGGGGACAACUUGCCAAGAAUUGGCUCGGGUCUUGGGCUUUUCUUACCAGCCAUGUUUGCUCCCCACACCCCGCUCACAAACCUGUGCUUCUGUUCUCACCGAAACCAAACCUCCAGAGUUGAGAAGUGAUAGGCAAGCGAGGGGAAGCCCCACCGGUGCUCACUUGCUGUUAGAGAUGGUCACACACACCCUGGGGCAGGGUGGGGGGCUUUCCUCUUUCUCUCUGGCAGAAAUGAUUCAUGCCGGGUACUGGCUUUAACGUGGCCUCCCUUUUUGCCCCCACUCUCCUCCCGGGAGUCUCGGGUCUAACCUUCUUGGUACUAAGGCCUUUUCACUAGUGUUCUUACCAGCUCAGCUUAGUCUCCACUUUGCUUGCAAUAGCCGUCUUAGCUUCGAGUAGACUUCUGGGUUGCGCAUUUUCUAGGCUAUUCCUGGAUGACUUUGAACCUCACUAGAUAAUCAACCAGCGGUCCCAGAUUAGUUUUUCAGAUUUUAUAUUUGACAGUAUUUAUACUAUAUAUCAGACGACUCUGAAGUCUUAGACUUGUUGACGAAAACAUUUUUUUUUCUAAAGCACUGAGUUUUUAGAAGACUUUCCAUUUAUUUAAUAGAAAACUGGAAACAUAUCCAGCAUUGACUCCUAAGCCGUGUGUUCCUGGCAGCCUUCUCCCGUGCCUGAUAACUUGGGUUCGGAGCUUAGGGUUGAGCAGGCAACAAAGCAGCAGACACAGCUCCAUGCCUUUGACACAGAGCCACGUGACCAAAGGUCACACUCGUUCCUAAAUAGCAAUAGUGAAGUCCCUGUCUAGGCGGGAUUUCCUCACACAGAGGAGUGACCUCUGGAUACCGUUAAUUAGGCUCGCGUGGAAACCUGAACACGGCUUGUGGGCCACAGGCACCCCCGACUCCUGGCGGCUGAGCUCGCUGUGUACAGUCCGUGUUCUGGCCAAUAAAACGUUAAGCAGAGGACCUUGGUUACUGUGUG